rnacentral:lncRNA from 1 species
AGGGGCUUGGGUCCCAGGCUGCCGUGGCUGUGGCUUGGGCCUGCAGCUGCAGCCAGCGUAAUCCAGUCAGGGAACUUCCACAUAACAUAGGCACGGCCCGAAAAAAGAGACACGGAAAAAAGAUACUUCAUCCAUGUACGCCUGAGUCAUUGACUCAUAAGACGGAAAUUAAUGAAACAUUCUAAAUCAAUUAUACUUUGAAAAAAAAAUUAAACAGAAAAAAAAUACUGUGCAAGUGAGCGACUUUAUUAUAAUGCAAAUGUAAGGUCAUAAGGAAAAAAAAUGCAGGGGGGGUAAAGAGCAAAGAACAGGAAAACUACUAAAGAGAUAAAAUGAAAAAAGCAAUUAAGGAUAAGAAAAUGUUAACAAAGUGUUCCAAUUAUGUUCAGAGACAAGAACACAAAAACAGAAAAAACAUCCAAUCACUUUCCAGACAGAGAAAGAAACAAAAGGCCUGUAUCUGGGUCACGAGUAGCUCGCUGCAAAAGCUGCAUGUAGGUGAGGUUCUCGUGCGUGUUGGGGUCGAAGAAGCCCUUGGUGUCGUCGCUGGGGUCCUCCAGCACGCGGCUCAUCUCCUCGUCGAAGUAGCCGCGCUGGUAGGCCACGUCCACGGGCACGCGGUGGCUGCGCACGGGGUCGAUGACGCCGCCCGUGGCGAUCUGGGCCUCCAGCAGGCGGAUGCCGUGCUCGCGGACGAUGAGGUCCUUCUUCAUGGCCUGGAAGAGGGAGAUCUGCUCCCCGGUGUAGGGGUCCGUGUAGCCGGUGACGGCGCGCUCGGCCGACAGCAGCUUCUCCCGCAGCUCGCCGCCCACCACGCCCGCGGCCACCGCCUCCUCCACGGACAGCUUCUGGUUGCGCACGGGGUCGAUGACGCCGCCCGUGGCGAUCUGGGCCUCCAGCAGGCGGAUGCCGUGCUCGCGGACGAUGAGGUCCUUCUUCAUGGCCUGGAAGAGGGAGAUCUGCUCCCCGGUGUAGGGGUCCGUGUAGCCGGUGACGGCGCGCUCGGCCGACAGCAGCUUCUGGUAGGUUUCUCUGCCAAACAUCCCCGCCUCAAACGCCUCCUGCACAGUCAGCUUCCGGUUCUCCACGGGGUCGAUGAGGAAGCCGGUGGCCGCCUGCGCCUCCAGCAGCACCAGGGCCGUGCCGGGCCGCAGGACGCCCUUCCACAUGGCCUGGUAGAUGCUCAUCUUCUCCUGGCGCCCGGGCUCGUCCUUGGCCGGCACCAGCACGCCCGCGAUGCAGCUGGUGCCCUCCAGGUAGCGCCGGACCGGUUCUUGCUGUUGGACUUCGUCCACGGAGGCCCGCCCCCCUUCCAGGUCCGCCAGCAUCUCCCUGCUGAUGACGGCUGCGUGGAAGAGGUCUGCGGCUGUUACCUGUGUCCUGAUCCCUCUGAACCACAGCUGCUGUUUCUUCUUCUCAUUCUCUUCAAUGAUUUGUAGAAUAACCUUUACGACCUUUUCUAAUUCGUGUUUUGUAUCUCUUUUGUAUUUUGCUACUAACUCAAGCUUCUUCUCUUCGGUCACAUAUUCCGAGUUUAGCAAGUCCCAGACCGUUGGCCUCUGGCCCUUGAAUCUUCCCACUGUGACCUCCACUUGCUCGGCAGCGAGGGCCCUUCUCGUUGCCUCGUCUAUCACAGCAUCGUCUUCUUGGUUACUGAGUAAGGGGAGCAGGGCCCAGCCUGUGCUCUCCUGCCUGUGGCUCCUCUCUUGCAGCUCCUGAUAG